AGGAAGGCAGGCAGGCAGGCCAGCCACAGUGAUUCUGAGUGACAGUGUUGAGGUUAGCGGAUCGUGGCCUUUCGCAUGUCCUCAGCCUGUUACAACUGCUCUGUUGUGCUGUUCAGAGAUGGGAAGUUGUUGGGACCUUGGAGUUUACAGGUCCAUCAACUUUGCCAGCUUUAAACUCCCAGCAUAAACUGGUUAGCCAAUCUUACGGAUGGGCAGCAGUACCCAACGUCAGAUAGCAUACAUACACCCCAGGCAACAAUCUGCCUUUACAUCAUAAAAUGACCCUUACCCCAAGCGUGAGGUCACAGCUUUCUGAAAUAUUUAUUAGGUGCCUGCAGAUGGUGUCAUUGGAUAUGGUAUGUGGCACAACUGAAGAAUCAUUUGAAGGAUGAAAAAGAAAGGAAGAUGUAUUGGUCACUGUCAUUGGUUGGCAGAAAACAGGAAGGAUAUGGAAGGUGGAGAGGGAGAGGGAGAGGAGUAGAAAUGAUAUAUCUUUGGUGCUGUUUGGGGGGUGGGGUGGCAACAGAGAAAGUAGGGCAAGCAAGAUAUCCAUAUUAGGUCAUGGCCAGAGCCUCACAUUCAAGUACUGGGAGUUAAAAAGCAAAGCUCUUAGGACAUUAACAGUCUAUAGAAUUCCUCUUGGCAAACCCACACAGGACUCCCAGACCUAAAACACAAAACCUAAGAGUCCCUAGCAGAGAACUGCUGACACGAAAGCAAGAGAAGUGUGGCUAUAGGAAUUGCUGGGAGAGAUAGAACUGUUUCUCUGUACCUGACUUCCACUCCUUUGCAUGUUGAAAUGCAGAACUGGAGUUAUGCCCAUUUUGAAGUGAUUCAGAUAUCCAGAGAAGGAAAAGAGUUCUAUCCAAGCAAACCAAGGGAAAUAGUCACUGGUAACUUUAUUUAAGAGCAAUCAGCAAUCAGAGAGUCUUUGAAUGAGAACCAUCCAUAUAUAUAUACAUAUAUAUGUAUGUAUGUAUAUAUGUAUGUAUGUAUAUGUAUAUAUAUUUUGUGGCAGGUACCCACCAUGCUAUCAUUUCCCAUGCCUCCCAUAGUGAAGAUCUUGGGAAGCAUUACAGUGGGUGUCAUGAAUUUACACAUGUCCACAAGGAGAGCUUGGACAUAUACACAUAUAUGCAACAGAAGCUUAGGAAUGUUCCUUUUAUAGCCAGAAUCAGUAAAAGAAAAACUCAGUGUCACUGUCAAUUAGACCAGGUCAUUACUGCUGUUGCAUCAAGCGGGUAUCUCAGUUGAAUGGGAGGGAAAAGAUGACAUAGAGGAACGGACAGCACAAGCUGUGAUCUCCAGCCCAUCAGCUGAGAGGGGCUUUCUGGUUAGCGAUGAUUAAUUUCUGACAGCAGUGGUUUACAGGAGAUACAUUCUUAAGGGACAAAGCUUUCAUCACAAACAUUUUCAAUGGAAGAGCCAAUAUAAUUGUGACCAUGAAGCUAGCUGAUGGGUGGCCUCACAAGCCCUUCCCCCAUGAGGCAUUUGCUAUUGACACAGGCUCCUUAUUUCUGCCGUUUUAUACGGGAGAGGAAAAGGGCUGGGAAUUUGAUUUGUCUAAGCAGUUGGUAUGAUUCACAGAGAGAUAAAUCAUCACAGGAGUUGGUUAGCAGUGUAUGGUUUUCAGCAUUCAACACAUUGUUUAUUAUAAAACACGCACCUGGGUUUAUAUUCUUCUGCCUGGCUAUAAGGCAAUCACAUCUUGCUAUGCAAACACUAAAUUUUACGUGUGAAUUUCUGACUGUAAUUUUAUGUGUGCAUUUUUUAACUAAACUCCAUCAUUUUCUAUGUUGACAUCUGUUGUUGGUUUGGUUUUGUUUUGUUUUUAAUCUGUUUCCAACUAUCUGAGUCUGUGAACCAUCUCUCCUGACUGGAUGCUGGCUUGAAACCUGUUAGUGCUUAAACAGACUCAGAAACAACCCUGGACCUCUGGGCAAACACAGGGGUGUUACUCUUUGAUAUAUCAUGGGCCCUGUGUGUUCAACAAACAAAGUCAUAAUUCCUCUAAAUUCUGUUUUCUGUAAAUGUUUUCUUCUCAGCUCUGCUAAAACAGAGAGAGAGAGAGAGAGAGAGAGAGAGAGAGAGAGAGAGAGAGAUGUAGGGCUAUUAUAAUGUGAACUCUUGACAUUUCUGCCUUUGAAGAUGAGGAAGCCUUUUCAGGAUUUGGGGUGCAGGGGCUUCCUCUGAGUUCCCUGAAAGGUCAGCAACAGGGUUGAACAGAAACCUGGAGCUUCCUGAUGCCAGAGCUCUUGAGUCUACCUCCCACCCAAGCCCCUUGUGGACAUAUGCAAAUUCAUGUAUAAUCCUUCCCAAGAUCCUCACUGUGGGAGGCAUGGGAAUGAUCCCACGAUGGGCAUCUGCCACAAAACUUUCCAAGCUUUCUAAGUCUGACUUUUACUGAGGAAUUUAGAGUCCCUUUUUCAUUUCCCCACCCUCUCAUUCUGCUGGGAAUACAGCACUCUUCUGAGCACCACCUGCUUACUAGGAAGUAACCAGCAUGCCAGUGGUGCAUGCCUGUAAUCUUGGCAGAGGCAGGACUUCUAGCCUGGGCUACACAUCAAGGCCUUGUUUCAAAAACAGCAGAAAGCAAAUAGCACGUUUUAGCGUAUUCAUCUUUCCCUUGGGUACUUACACAAUUCCCUUAUAAGAACAGAAAUGGGCUGGAGAGAUGGCGCAGUAGAUAAAGUGCCUGCUGUGCAGGUGAGGACCUGAGUUCAGAUUCCAGCAUCCUUGUAAAAGCCAGGCACGAACUUAAAUGCAAGGGGAGUUUGUUAGCCAGCCAGCCUGAAGGGUGAAGUGGUAACCAGGCUCAUCAAGAGAUACUGUCUCACAAAAUAAAAAUGGACAGAGAUCUAGGGAUACACCCAACACCUGCCCCAACCUCCAAAUGCAUAUGCAUGUGCACAGAAAUCCCCAGGCAUACUAGCAUGGGCCCAUGUACACACACACACACACACACACACACACAAGAACAGAUAAGUGUUCAUGUUCACCCAGCUCCUGCUGGUACCCAAGCAGGUCUUUCUUCUCCCCUGAAUUGGAAAGGUACAUUUAAACCAUCCAUCCUCUUUGCUGCCCCUCUCUGGUACGUAAGGAGCAUUCUGUUCAAUCUUGUUUGCACUAAGCAGAAUUUAUCCUGUAAGGCAAGGGAUGGUGAUAGCCAUGAUUUUUGUUGGCUGGGCCUUCUUCAAAGUGUCCUUGAAUCCAUCAAGCAAACCUUCUUGAGAAAGCUCUCUGAACUUAGUCUCUCUCCAUUUGGCUGAAAAAUAAUGGAUGGCCACAUCCAAACUCCAAAUUUCUGGAUGUGUCAUUUGCUUCAGCAUUACAGAGUCUGACUCUGUCUUUUAGUAUAGACGAUGUUUAUUAGCUAUGCACAAGGCUGUUUAACACAUGGCUCCAAGCCCUGCUUCAGACUUGGGAGCUUUCGGAACCUUCCUUACACUACCAAAUGCCAAUCACAUUGGCUAAAGAGAGUAUAUUAUAGUCUGUGUCUAAGCUUAGGAGCUUUAAGUGUAUGUUUUAAAGAAAUCUAUUGGAGUGGGUUGAACAUUUUAACUAAAUGCAAAAGGUUGGACAGAUUACAUGCAAAGAUGAUUGUUUAAUAAAGAGUAAUCUGAAUCCUGUAUAACUUAUUUGCACACCUUUCUUGCAUGAGGAACUGACAUUUUUAUAGUUGUUUGUAUAAGACGGUGGCAUAUUUUUGUAAACAUUUUUGACACUGAAUUGCAAUAAAUGUUUUUCCUACAACACACCCUGGCGCGUUUUUGAUGUCAACUCAACUCAGCUUUGUGUUGUAAUGAAUAUGUUUAUCUUGUGUCUUUGAGACCUAAGUUCUUGCUCUCACAAAUUUGUUAACAAUGAUUAUAAAAGUUCCUAGG
ensembl:lncRNA